rnacentral:rRNA from 1 species
AUACGGAGGGUGCAAGCGUUACUCGGAAUCACUGGGCGUAAAGCGCGCGCAGGCGGCUUUGUAAGUUGGAUGUGAAAUCCUAUGGCUCAACCAUAGAACUGCAUCCAAAACUACUUAGCUAGAGUCUGGGAGGGGAAGAUGGAAUUAGUGGUGUAGGGGUAAAAUCCGUAGAGAUCACUAGGAAUACCAAAAGCGAAGGCGAUCUUCUGGAACAGUACUGACGCUGAGGCGCGAAAGCGUGGGGAGCAAACAGGAUUAGAUACCCUGGUAGUCCACGCCCUAAACGAUGAAUGUUAGUCGUCGGAGAGCUCGUCUCUUCGGUGAUGCAGCUAACGCAUUAAACAUUCCGCCUGGGGAGUACGGUCGCAAGAUUAAA